GAUGGCGAGUGGCGAACGGGUGAGUAAUACAUCGGAACGUGCCCUGUAGUGGGGGAUAACUAGUCGAAAGAUUGGCUAAUACCGCAUACGACCUGAGGGUGAAAGUGGGGGACCGCAAGGCCUCAUGCUAUAGGAGCGGCCGAUGUCUGAUUAGCUAGUUGGUGGGGUAAAGGCCCACCAAGGCGACGAUCAGUAGCUGGUCUGAGAGGACGAUCAGCCACACUGGGACUGAGACACGGCCCAGACUCCUACGGGAGGCAGCAGUGGGGAAUUUUGGACAAUGGGCGAAAGCCUGAUCCAGCAAUGCCGCGUGUGUGAAGAAGGCCUUCGGGUUGUAAAGCACUUUUGUCCGGAAAGAAAUGGCUCUGGUUAAUACCUGGGGUCGAUGACGGUACCGGAAGAAUAAGGACCGGCUAACUACGUGCCAGCAGCCGCGGUAAUACGUAGGGUCCAAGCGUUAAUCGGAAUUACUGGGCGUAAAGCGUGCGCAGGCGGUUGUGCAAGACCGAUGUGAAAUCCCGAGCUUAACUUGGGAAUUGCAUUGGUGACUGCACGGCUAGAGUGUGUCAGAGGGGGGUAGAAUUCCACGUGUAGCAGUGAAAUGCGUAGAGAUGUGGAGGAAUACCGAUGGCGAAGGCAGCCCCCUGGGAUAACACUGACGCUCAUGCACGAAAGCGUGGGGAGCAAACAGGAUUAGAUACCCUGGUAGUCCACGCCCUAAACGAUGUCAACUAGUUGUUGGGGGAUUCAUUUCCUUAGUACGUAGCUACGCGUGAAGUUGACCGCCUGGGGAGUACGGUCGCAAGAUUUAAAACUCAAGGGAUUGACGGGAACCCGCACAGCGUUGAUGAUGUGCAUAGUCGAUGCAACGCGAAAACGUAACUACCUUGACAUUGCCAGUACGAGCUAAUUGC
rnacentral:rRNA from 1 species